UAAGGAAUAUUGGUCAAUGGACGCAAGUCUGAACCAGCCAUGCCGCGUGAAGGAUGAAGGUCCUCUGGAUUGUAAACUUCUUUUAUCUGGGACGAAAACGGGAUUUUUAUCUCAAUUGACGGUACCAGAGGAAUAAGCACCGGCUAACUCCGUGCCAGCAGCCACGGUAAUACGGAGGGUGCGAGCGUUAUCCGGAUUUACUGGGUUUAAAGGGUGCGUAGGUGGGCUUAUAAGUCAGUGGUGAAAUCUCCGAGCUUAACUUGGAAACUGCCGUUGAUACUAUAGGUCUUGAAUUAUCUGGAGGUGAGCGGAAUAUGUCAUGUAGCGGUGAAAUGCUUAGAUAUGACAUAGAACACCAAUUGCGAAGGCAGCUUACUACAUAUAAAUUGACGCUGAGGCACGAAAGCGUGGGGAUCAAACA
rnacentral:rRNA from 1 species